CGCCGCGCCAAAGAAGUGGUAUCUGCCUGGUGGAGGGGGAUAACUAUUGGAAAAGGGAGCUAAUACCGCAUAACGUCGCAAGACCAAAGAGGGGGACCUUCGGGCCUCUUGCCAUCGGAUGUGCCCAGAUGGGAUUAGCUAGUAGGUGGGGUAACGGCUCACCUAGGCGACGAUCCCUAGCUGGUCUGAGAGGAUGACCAGCCACACUGGAACUGAGACACGGUCCAGACUCCUACGGGAGGCAGCAGUGGGGAAUAUUGCACAAUGGGCGCAAGCCUGAUGCAGCCAUGCCGCGUGUAUGAAGAAGGCCUUCGGGUUGUAAAGUACUUUCAGCGGGGAGGAAGGGAGUAAAGUUAAUACCUUUGCUCAUUGACGUUACCCGCAGAAGAAGCACCGGCUAACUCCGUGCCAGCAGCCGCGGUAAUACGGAGGGUGCAAGCGUUAAUCGGAAUUACUGGGCGUAAAGCGCACGCAGGCGGUUUGUUAAGUCAGAUGUGAAAUCCCCGGGCUCAACCUGGGAACUGCAUCUGAUACUGGCAAGCUUGAGUCUCGUAGAGGGGGGUAGAAUUCCAGGUGUAGCGGUGAAAUGCGUAGAGAUCUGGAGGAAUACCGGUGGCGAAGGCGGCCCCCUGGACGAAGACUGACGCUCAGGUGCGAAAGCGUGGGGAGCAAAACAGGAUUAGAUACCCUGGUAGUCCACGCCGUAAAACGAUGUCGACUUGGAGGUUGUGCCCUUGAGGCGUGGCUUCCGGAGCUAACGCGUUAAAGUCGACCGCCUGGGGGAGUACGGCCGCAAGGUUAAAACUCAAAUGAAUUGACGGGGGCCCGCACAAGCGGUGGAGCAUGUGGUUUAAUUCGAUGCAACGCGAAGAACCUUACCUGGUCUUGACAUCCACAGAACUUUCCAGAGAUGGAUUGGUGCCUUCGGGAACUGUGAGACAGGUGCUGCAUGGCUGUCGUCAGCUCGUGUUGUGAAAUGUUGGGUUAAGUCCCGCAACGAGCGCAACCCUUAUCCUUUGUUGCCAGCGGUCCGGCCGGGAACUCAAAGGAGACUGCCAGUGAUAAACUGGAGGAAGGUGGGGAUGACGUCAAGUCAUCAUGGCCCUUACGACCAGGGCUACACACGUGCUACAAUGGCGCAUACAAAGAGAAGCGACCUCGCGAGAGCAAGCGGACCUCAUAAAGUGCGUCGUAGUCCGGAUUGGAGUCUGCAACUCGACUCCACGAACG
rnacentral:rRNA from 1 species